GGCCGGUUAGCUCAGUCAGUUGAGCGUAGCGCUAACAACGCUAAGGUUGCGGGUUCGAUUCUUGUUCAGUCCC
rnacentral:tRNA from 1 species